CAUUUUCCCUGGGAAAACAACUUCUAAGUAGAGACACCAAGACAAAUAGGCCUAUUCGAAGAGCUAAACCGACCCUUUCCACAUGUCUGGGUUUCUCGAAGCGGAAGCUGUCAUAGUUGGGUAAAAUUCUAUGGUGAUGAAUGAGAUAAUACAUUAAAUAUAUUUUUUGUGUCCCCGUUUUCUCAAAUAGCAAAAGAAACAAUAACAACGUUUUCACAACUUUCAAAAAUAAGUAGAUUUUUUUUUUUAAUUUGAUGAAAAUGUAAUACAAAACUAAGUAUAAUGUUGUAAAUGUAGGCUACAUACACUUAAAAAAAUGAAAAUAUAAAAAACUUUGCAAGAUGCUGAUGACCAUUAAAACGCGUCACAGUCUGCAAAAAGGGUCCAUAAAACAGGUUUCAUUUUACCGUGAAAAAGGCCUGACGAAAAUGUUUCUGUCCUACAUGAAAAUAUAGCUAGCCUGCAUUUUAAUUAAGUAAUGCAAAAACACUGCUUCGUGGACAGUACAUUAAAGUUAUUCAAAUAUCAUAAACAGAUCUCUUCUACUGAUCCAGACAGCGUCUCCGUUCCGGAUUCAAACGCUUUAUCACCUUCUCACUUGAGAGCGCAAGCUGCGGUAUUUCUGACACUCCUCAGCUAAUUACCCCGACAGAAAUGCGUCAAUAACUCAUUAAUUGGACCCAGCGUUGCUGUUGGAGGAGCAUCACCUGCGCGUGUCUGUCACACAGGUCGGUUAAUUGAUUUCGGCAAGCGGGGAGCAGGUGUGUGAACAGCGCCAUAUAAUGCGGAACUAAUCCGAAUCGUCCAUCCGCUAUCGAUUAAGCAGCCUGAGACAAACUGAUAAGACUCAGGCUACAACAGGAAGCUUGCGCUGCAGACUGUAGUGAAUUCACUCAGGACCGUUUGCAGAGGCUGAGGAUUACAGGACCACGGUUCUACUGAAGAAAAAAGUCAUCUACAUCUUGGAUGACCAGAGGCUUUGUUUCAGAUUGACUUUCAUAUCAAGGCAAGCACUGAUCAUACAGAUCAAAGCAGUAUCAGUCUGAAGUCUGCGGUGAGCUCUUGAGUGAAUUCUCAAUGGAAGUUUCUCUGUCUCUCUGGAGCGUGUGGUGGACUCCAGUAAGUGUGAAAAGUGGGAUAAUGACAAACGUGUGUGAGGAGAAACCCAGUGUGAAGACUUGGGAGUCACAAGGAGAGAGGUGCGAGAGGAAAGCGUGAAUGGACCGGUUCAACUACAGUGUGUGAGGCAAGGGACAAGACGGAUAGAAACCUGCAUUGCUAUAGUUUUCUUUACAGAUUCCAGGAGUGACGUAUUCGAUAUUUGGACUUUGUGGUUUCAUAAAUUUAAGAUAUUUCACACGCAUAUAAUCGCACCCGCACCGACACUCAACUACAGUUCAAGUGAAAUGACCAGUUAUACCUGUUAGCACCGGUCACACCCUAAAGCUUUUAAUUCUGCUUGCAGCUAUACUGUUUCCUCUGGGAUGUGGCUACAGUUCCUUCUCAUAUGACGGCACUGCCUUAAUACUAACAGAGGAUGUCAUCUCAUAUGAAGUCUGGUCCACAUUGCAGCUUUUUCUAAUCAGGAACAGCCCACACUGACAGGAAGACGGUCCUUUUAACCGACAACCACAGUUUGUUGGUUUUGUGGAAUGUUUAGAGGAAGGGAAAUAUGAAAUUGGAUACAGUCAUGAAAUAUGCAGCCACAGAUAUCUUGUUUACUUGCUUCUAAGUGUCUCAAACAAAACUAUUUCUCUCAUUUCCUUAACCCUCACGGUCCUCAUUUCUUUUACACGCAUUUACAGAGCGACUGUAUAAAAAAUAAAACAU